GGGGAGAGGGUACAGUGGUAGACCACAUGCCUAGCAUGCAUGAGGUCCUGGGUUCAAUCUCCAGUAUCUCCA
rnacentral:tRNA from 1 species